rnacentral:rRNA from 1 species
UACGGAGGGGGCGAGCGUUAUUCGGAAUUAUUGGGCGUAAAGGGCGCGUAGGCGGCUUGAUGUGUCAAAGGUGAAAUCCCUCGGCUCAACUGAGGAACUGCCUUUGAAACUGUCUGGCUUGAGGCCGGGAGAGGGUAGCGGAAUUCCCAGUGUAGCGGUGAAAUGCGUAGAUACUGGGAGGAACACCGGUGGCGAAGGCGGCUACCUGGACCGGUUCUGACGCUGAUGCGCGAAAGCGUGGGGAGCAAAAGGG